UAUAAUAAAAAAUAUAUUUUUAAAAUAUUGUGAAAUAAAAUUAAUAAAUAAAAUAAUUUAUCAUUAAAAGUGAAAUAAAAAUAAAUUAUAACCAUAUCCAUAUCCAUCAAAUUAAAAAUUAUUAAAGAUGAAAUAAAAGUAAAGUUUAAAAAUACAUAUUAAAAAUUUCAAGCCAUAAAUUAUUCAAAUAUUUGUGCUCGCUCAUUUAUAAUGCGCAUUGCUUCCUCAUACUUUGUCGUUUUCCUCCUCAAUUCUUCCUCCAUCUCUG
rnacentral:lncRNA from 1 species